UACAGAGGGUGCAAACAUUAUCCGGAAUGAUUGGGCGUAAAGCGUCUGUAGGUGGCUUUUUAAGUCCCCCGUCAAAUCCCAGGGCUCAACUCUGGACAGGCGGUGGAAACUACCAAUCUUGAGUACGGUAGGGGCAGAGGGAAUUUCCGAUGUUGAGCGGUGAAAUGCGUAGAGAUCGGAAAGAACACCAACGGCGAAAGCACUCUACUGGGCCGACACUGACACUGAGAGACGAAAGCUAGGGGAGAGAAUGGG
rnacentral:rRNA from 1 species